GUGGGAGUUUUUGGGUACAAGUUUAUCUGUGCCUACCCACAGUUUUAAGCAAUAGUACAGAGUAGGCCGCAUAUAUGUACUUAUUGUGUGGGAGUUUUGGGUACAAAGUUUAUCUGUGCCUACGCACGGUGUUUAUCAAUAGCACAGAGUAAGCCGCGUAUAUGUUCUUAUUGUGUGGGAGUCUUGGGUUCAUCAUUUAUUUGUACCUAUCCACAUGUAUAAGAUAAGAACAAGGCUAAGGGUUUCUUUGUACCAGUAACAGUUUAUGUCGUGUUAUAUUUUUUGAUUUGGAUAUUUUUUAAGUUAAUUGUGGUCGAAGAAAUGAAAUUUCUCAAGAUCAAUGGCUUUAAUCGUUGUGCUUUGGCAUACCUAUGUUCAAGGAGUUUGUUCCUGGUAUCCUUGUAGAUUUUACUUAUAUACCAAUAAGAGUUGCAGAUGCCUUUUGAUGAAUUUGCCAGUGUGCAAAUUUGCUACAUCCUAGCAGCCGGAGUGAAGAGGAAGCGUAGCUAUAACUGUUAAUAGCCCAGAGAGCCUAGCAGAAUUGUGCCGGAUGCCAUGAAUGUUAAUGACACAGGUUUGAACUGUUUAUCAAAUAUUGACUCAGCGAGCGGUUCUAUCUAACAAAUUGCAUAAGAUCCGCACCGCCGAUGGAUAAUGUCCUAAACCAGCCCGUCCACUAGUGUUUUCUAAAUACAUUUUGACUUUACCAACAACUUUCAUGCUAUCAGCCGGUAUAAAAUCCAUAUGUUUGCAAGCUAAACUGCUUGCAGUGCUGUUACAGGUGUGCCCCAAAUCAGCCGGGUAAUCAGGAUAUCCACUACCGUUGGUUCACGAAGCAUCCAUACCAGCUAGAGCAUUCAAUUUGGUUUCGAAUAAAACAUUUACAGGCGAGUCAGCAAGUAAAUAAUAUACGAAGAUCCCUCCCUCCAUAAUAUUUCAAAUAAGUUCCCUAUAUGGCUAGUAAAUAUAGGAUUAAUUUAUUUUUAUAAGUUAGUACAGACCCCAUGCAAGGUCAGUACAAUAAUGAAAGGAUUUUCAAUUUAUGUCCCUGUUCGGAAAUUAAGCAUGGUCAGGCUAGAAUACAAUAAUAAUAAUAAUAAUAAUUAAAAUGAAUUAUUUUAAAUUGUUUCUAAUAGACAGCAUAAUGAAAGACACUGUUUUGUUUUACUAGCUCAUGUUGUACAUUGUACGUUUCUGCGGUCUUUAUCUUUAAAUAUUUAUUUGCCUUAAUUAACCCCAUGUAAAAUUUUUCUCAAUCAUUUAUUUAUAUAAAUGUGCUAUUAAUUUUCAGUCUUGUUUGACAUAUGUAGUUGAAAGAUAAUCGUUUUCUUUUGAUGUUUAGGAAGGGCAUUUUUGCACAUGGUGGCAGUAUUUCAUUCUUGACAUCUCUUCCCUGUCUGACGAUAGCAAUGUGAUUAACUCAUUCUUGUUAUCAAAUUUAUGGUUAGAUCCUAGGAUUGCGUUCUUUGAAUUUGCUAUGCUUAGCUCUACCUAAUUUCAGUGUGGUAAAUUAAUGUCUUACGGAUUCCCUAUGCUCAUGUAAUUUUCUAUCCUUGAUUUUAAUUGGCCGGUCAGUUUGAAAGUAGGCAGAGUUGUCAAAGAACCGAUUUGUGAGUUUUGUAAGGAAGGCAAUCUAGGAAUAUUACUGUGUUAUACAGUUUUGUAUUCUAUCUACGAAAUUUGUUCCAAAUUAAUUACUUGUGAAAUUUAGAUUUUUUGACUUACAAUAAAUUCUGAACUUUAGAGCCAACUUUUCAAUUGACACAAUAUACAUGGUGAAUUUAGUAUAAUCUAGGAAUGUUACACUCUAUUCAAAACGCUUAGGAACAUAAUGAAUUAACUUUCAUCGUGUAAAACUUCUUUAUACUUUUUGGAAUAGAAGUAAGGUAGAUUCCUCCAUGAAAAGGGCAUACUUUAUGGAAUUAAUGGAUACAACCUUUUGGGUCCGACAGUUCCAAGAGAAAGGGCUGUUAUGCAAAUAUUUUGGGGUUGUUUAUAUUUGUUGAAUUUCUGAUACAAAUGUAAAAAAAAAAAUUACAAUUUGGAAGAUACUCUUAAAACUGGUUUAAAAUAAAAAAAAAGAAAAAAAAAAAAAAAAAAAAAAAAUAAAUAAAUAAAUAAAUAAAUAAUAAAAUAAACACUCGCAUAGAUAUAAAGUUAAAUAAUUCAAGGUUGUAAUAAGUAGAAUGAUAUCUGACCGUGUGUCCUACUCAUGAGCACUCUCCGCAUAAUUCUUCUUCAAUCUUCAUAAUUAUCUGAAUAUCAAUUUAUUAUACCUGUUUUGUGGAACUAAAGUAUGUACAGUAAUUUAACUGUACCUUGAUCUCAAAUGGAGAGAGCUACAAUAUAGGUCCGAAGAUCAAAAAUUAGUCAAUGUUAAUUAUUGUUUUGUUCCA